AAUUGGAGGGCAAGUCUGGUGCCAGCAGCCGCGGUAAUUCCAGCUCCAAUAGCGUAUAUUAAAGUUGUUGCAGUUAAAAAGCUCGUAGUUGAAUUUCGGGAUUGACGUGAUGGUCAUGCCUUAAGGGGUAUGAACUGUUGCAGUUGAUUUCUCACCUUCUGGAAAAACUUGAUGUCCUUUAUUGGGUGUCUUGCGGAACCAGGACCUUUACCUUGAAAAAAUUAGAGUGUUUAAAGCAGGCAUUUUUGCUCGAAUACAUUAGCAUGGAAUAAUAGAAUAGGACGGCAUGGUUCUAUUUUGUUGGUUUCUAGGAUCACCGUAAUGAUUAAUAGGGAUAGUUGGGGGCAUUAGUAUUCAAUUGUCAGAGGUGAAAUUCUUGGAUUUAUUGAAGACUAACUACUGCGAAAGCAUUUGCCAAGGAUGUUUUCAUUAAUCAAGAACGAAAGUUAGGGGAUCGAAGACGAUCAGAUACCGUCGUAGUCUUAACCAUAAACUAUGCCGACUAGGAAUCAGACGAUGUUAAUUUUUUAAUGACUCGUUUGGCACCUUACGGGAAACCAAAGUGU
rnacentral:rRNA from 1 species